UACGGGGGGGGCAAGCGUUGUUCGGAAUUACUGGGCGUAAAGGGCUCGUAGGCGGCCAACUAAGUCGGACGUGAAAUCCCCAGGCUCAACCUGGGAACUGCGUCCGAUACUGGAUGGCUUGAAUCCGGGAGAGGGAUUCAGAAUUCCAGGUGUAGCGGUGAAAUGCGUAGAUAUCAGGAGGAACACCAAUUGCGAAGGCAGCUCGCUGGGACGUUACUGACGCUGAGACGCGAAAGCGUGGGGAGCAAACAGG
rnacentral:rRNA from 1 species